UACGUAGGGAGCGAGCGUUGUUCGGAAUUACUGGGCGUAAAGAGUGUGUAGGCGGUGCUCUAAGUUCGGUGUGAAAUCUCCUGGCUCAACUGGGAGGGUGCGCCGGAAACUGGAGUGCUUGAGCGUGGGAGAGGAAAGCGGAAUUCCUGGUGUAGCGGUGAAAUGCGUAGAUAUCAGGAGGAACACCUGUGGUGUAGACGGCUUUCUGGACCAUAGCUGACGCUGAGACACGAAAGCGUGGGUAGCAAACAGG
rnacentral:rRNA from 1 species